AAAAACAGCUAGAGGGGGAAAAAGAGACUAGAUUUAGAGAGAGAUAAUGGUUGUAAUGAUGAUGAUGAAGCUGGCAAUUUCUGAGAUUUUAAAUGGUAUUUAUUCCAUUUUAUAAUUCUCCAUAAAUAUUAAAUAUAGCAAUUGCUUCGAGAUUUUCCUUAUUUUCGUGUAAUGAUAACACUCUUGUGGCCGACGCAUAAAUAUUUGGGCGAACAAAAGCACAGCAUUCUGGACCGUAAUGAUCCAUGGAUAAUACUACCC
rnacentral:lncRNA from 1 species